UACGGGGGGGGCAAGCGUUGUUCGGAAUUACUGGGCGUAAAGGGCUCGUAGGUGGCCAACUAAGUCAGACGUGAAAUCCCUCGGCUUAACCGGGGAACUGCGUCUGAUACUGGAUGGCUUGAGUUUGGGAGAGGGAUGCGGAAUUCCAGGUGUAGCGGUGAAAUGCGUAGAUAUCUGGAGGAACACCGGUGGCGAAGGCGGCAGCCUGGACCAUUACUGACACUGAAUAGCGAAAGCCAGGGGAGCAAACGGG
rnacentral:rRNA from 1 species